rnacentral:rRNA from 1 species
UACGAAGGGGGCUAGCGUUGUUCGGAAUUACUGGGCGUAAAGCGCGUGUAGGCGGCCAAGUGUGUCGGAUGUGAAAUCCCACGGCUCAACCGUGGAAGUGCAUUCGAAACUGCUUGGCUGGAGUUUCGGAGAGGAAGGCGGAAUGCUUGGUGUAGAGGUGAAAUUCGUAGAUAUCAAGCAGAACACCUGUGGCGAAGGCGGCCUUCUGGACGAUGACUGACGCUGAGACGCGAAAGCGUGGGGAGCAAACAGG